rnacentral:lncRNA from 1 species
CUGAGUGCAACCUACAUCACCAGUUGCAGCUGCACACAGGGCGAGUUUAAUCAGUAAAAGUGAUGUGUUAUUUACAAUCAGGGUGGUGAUGAAGCGACUCUGAGAAACUCACCAGCAAAACAGCGCUCUGGAUGUUUUUGAUGAUUACAGAGAUCAGAUUUGAACACCAAGCCUGCAUGAGACUACGAAACCAGCAGAACUGAGGCAAUAUGUUGACGAGCCAUAAUCAACUCCCGCCUCAACUAAAGAAGUUCAGACGAUUUGUGUACAUCAGUCCUGUCAUCACCAUCCUCGCUCUCGCCCAGCUGCUGUGGACCUACAGGACCGACAAGACCUUCCCGUUCUGGACCCAGUACAACCAAGCAACCAGUGAGCCUCAGAUUCCAGUGCAGCUAACAGUGCCUCAACAACAUGGUCCAG